rnacentral:lncRNA from 1 species
GUAAAACUGUUAAGUACUUCUAUUUGUGUACUUCCAUCUGAUGACCCUCUGAUAUUUACUUCACCACAUUUCUCUUCUCAAACAAUUGACAUCGUGUGUUGGGACUGUAACUGCAGAAAAGUAUCCAAGUACUUCUUCCAACACUGUCUACAUUACUGUGUGUCUACAUUACUGUGUGUCUACAUUACUCUGUGUCUACAUUACUGUGUGUCUACAUUACUCUGUGUCUACAUUACUCUGUGUCUACAUUACUGUGUGUCUACAUUACUCUGUGUCUACAUUACUCUGUGUCUACAUUACUGUGUGUCUACAUUACUGUGUGUCUACAUUACUCUGUGUCUACAUUACUCUGUGUCUACAUUACUCUGUGUCUACAUUACUGUGUGUCUACAUUACUCUGUGUCUACAUUACUCUGUGUCUGCAUUACUGUGUGUCUACAUUACUCUGUGUCUACAUUACUGUGUCUACAUCACUCUGUGUCUACAUUACUCUGUGUCUACAUCAUUGUGUGUCUACAUUACUCUGUGUCUACAUUACUCUGUGUCUACAUUACUGUGUGUCUACAUUACUCUGUGUCUACAUUACUCUGUGUCUACAUUACUCUGUGUCUACAUUACUCUGUGUCUACAUUACUGUGUGUCUACAUUACUGUGUGUCUACAUUACUCUGUGUCUACAUUACUCUGUGUCUACAUUACUGUGUGUCUACAUUACUCUGUGUCUACAUUACUCUGUGUCUACAUUACUCUGUGUCUACAUCAUUGUGUGUCUACAUUACUCUGUGUCUACAUUACUCUGUGUCUGCAUUACUGUGUGUCUACAUUACUCUGUGUCUACAUUACUGUGUCUACAUCACUCUGUGUCUACAUUACUCUGUGUCUACAUCAUUGUGUGUCUACAUUACUCUGUGUCUACAUUACUCUGUGUCUACAUUACUGUGUGUCUACAUUACUCUGUGUCUACAUUACUCUGUGUCUACAUUACUCUGUGUCUACAUUACUCUGUGUCUACAUUACUGUGUGUCUACAUUACUGUGUGUCUACAUUACUCUGUGUCUACAUUACUCUGUGUCUACAUUACUGUGUGUCUACAUUACUCUGUGUCUACAUUACUCUGUGUCUACAUUACUGUGUGUCUACAUUACUGUGUGUCUACAUUACUCUGUGUCUACAUUACUCUGUGUCUACAUUACUGUGUCUACAUUACUCUGUGUCUACAUUACUGUGUCUACAUUACUGUGUCUACAUUACUCUGUGUCUACAUUACUCUGUGAGCAGCAUGAAGGUUUUGUGA